CGAACCGGCUCGGGGUGCUUGAAUUGUAAACCAAUUCUGUGCUGAGAUUACACCCGUUGAACCUGCCUCAACGUAAUGGUUGCGAAGGGAAGCCUAUAUACCUGGCU
rnacentral:ncRNA from 1 species